rnacentral:lncRNA from 1 species
GACUCAGUACACAUAAGGACAAACGUCUUUAGGCAAGGUAGAAAACAUAUAUUAAGAACAUAACAAUGCUCCAAGUAUUUUUACAACACAGUCAAACUCACACCGCUAUAGUUACAACCCUUCACACAUUGGGAGCAGCUUAGUUGUCCGAAGGAGCACCAUCCUUUGCCUGGAUAGCGGGAUCAGCGCCUUCAUGAUCACCGUAGGAUCGAGCCUUAGGUACCUCUCCACCGUAUUU